rnacentral:rRNA from 1 species
AUACGGAGGGUGCAAGCGUUAAUCGGAAUUACUGGGCGUAAAGCGUACGUAGACGGUCCGUUAAGUUAGAUGUGAAAGCCCCGGGCUUAACCUGGGAACUGCAUUUAAAACUGGCGAACUAGAGUUGAGUAGAGGGGAGUGGAAUUUCAGGUGUAGCGGUGAAAUGCGUAGAGAUCUGAAGGAACACCAGUGGCGAAGGCGACUCCCUGGACUCGAACUGACGCUGAGGUGCGAAAGCGUGGGUAGCAAACGGGAUUAGAUACCCUAGUAGUCC